AUUGAACGCUGGCGGCAGGCUUAACACAUGCAAGUCGAGCGAGCGGCGGACGGGUGAGUAAUGUAUGGGAAACUGCCUGAUGGCGGGGGAUAACUACUGGAAACGGUAGCUAAUACCGCAUACCAUCAGAUGUGCCCAGAUGGGAUUAGCUAGUAGGUGGGGUAAUGGCUCACCUAGGCGACGAUCCCUAGCUGGUCUGAGAGGAUGACCAUCCACACUGGAACUGAGACACGGCCCAGACUCCUACGGUAGGAAGCAGUGGUGAAUAUUGCACAAUGGGCGCAAGACUGAUGCAGCCAUGCGGCGGGUGGGAAGAAGGCCUUCGGGUUGUAAAACACUAGCAGCGGGGAGGCGUUAGUCGCAGAAGAAGCACCGGCUAACUCCGUGCCAGCCGCCGCGGUAAUAC
rnacentral:rRNA from 1 species